rnacentral:rRNA from 1 species
GUAACAAGGUUUCCGUAGGUGAACCUGCGGAAGGAUCAUUACCGAGUUGAGCGCUGCCCACGCCACUCGUAAAACAUUUUUUCCAAGUCUUCCCUUCGGGAUGACUUCGGAUAGAGGACGCACCCGCCGCGGCUUGCCCGCGGUGGCUUCCUGUGCCCUUAUACGGGGUGCGUCCCAGCCCGCGUCGGCUGUUACGGUGCCGUCGGGCGAUCUGUUGAGACUGUGACGGCUACAGGUACCUACCCCUCACAACGCCUCUUGCGCGAGGGGAGACCCGGCAGAAAUGUCGGGCAGGUAUUAAAUGACACCCGCCUGUAGUACGUUCAAGCUAACAAAAAAUCCGUAAGUUGUUCGUCUUCGACGAUACAACAGCGUUGUCACUAGACAGCAAGCAUAUUGGUAACGAAAACCCCAUUAUGAAUGUGAAUUGCGGGCUGAGAAGCCACGCAAAUAAUGUAUGACAACCCUGAACGGUGGAUCACUCGGCUCGUGGGUCGAUGAAGAACGCAGCAAAUUGCGCGUCGACAUGUGAACUGCAGGACACAUGAACAUCGACGUUUCGAACGCACAUUGCGGUCCAUGGAUUCCGUUCCCGGACCACGCCUGGCUGAGGGUCGGUUGCUAAAACUGGACGACGACGUUUGUCGUCGUCCGAUGUUGGGAGCGUCGCGGCACUGUCGCGUCUCCUGAAAUACUGUGCGAGCUUCCGUAGCGGCCCGUCUACUCGUUGUGGGUCUACAGCACUUCCGGGGGGUUCCCCGCGUCGCGUCGCCUAACAGUCGUUACGCUGGCGGCACGCACGGGCCCCGGAGUCCCCACCGCGGCGGGUUUCAACCGCUUCUGCAAGUCUCUGCACGAUAACUCUGGUAACGCUUUAACGACCUCAGAGCAGGUGAGACUACCCGCUGAAUUUAAGCAUAUCAU